GGGGGAUUAGCUCAGUUGGGACGAGCGCUUCCAUGGCAUGGAAGAGGUCAUCGGUUCGACCCCGAUAUCCUCCACCA
rnacentral:tRNA from 1 species